UGUACACUCACUGUUGGGCAUUUUACGGUAGUUCAAAUUGAAUACAAUAUCUUUUUGCGCUCAAGCCGACAUUUAAACCGCUAAAAUCAAGAAAAACCGAAAAUACCCCAAUUUGACCCUUUUCCCUCUCCCCUGGGUCUAGCACAACUCGGAUUCACGGGGACUUUUUUGUGAGCGUUCUACAUAUACACCUAAGUGAACAACUUAAAACAAUAAAACCGUGUAUCCCAACUUUUCCCGCUAUUCGUAUGGUUUUGAUUCCCCGCGCCUGCACUAUGUGAGCCUAAAGAAUUCUGUCCACUGAAACGAGAAAUGACGUAAGUACCUAUUAAUUGAGCACCAGUUUUCUAAUUAAUCUAAUUAAUUCCGGAAAAGCCCAACUAUUUUGUGAAAAACUUUGAUUUUCCUUGAAAUUUUGAUUCGAUGGGCUUAAUGGGCAUUUUCCCCCAUUUCAGCCUUAAUAAUUACAUAGGUAUCAAUCAAGUUACCGCUUAUACCACCUAAGGCAUGACCCGAAUUUUUCAGGACUGUUUUACCUGUUAUUUCACCUUUAGACAAGGUACUGAUAGGAAAAAGGGUUUUUUCUUGUCAAAAAGGCAUUUUCUUCUACUUCAUCAUCGUCAUUUUUAAGCUAGGUUGUACACAAGGACACCUGGAAACUAGAUCCAAAUUAAAAGGAUCUGCAAAUUAAAUUUCGUCAUCGAGUUGCCUGAUUUAAUUUCGUUCCACAAAUAAUCAACAUUUAGAUGUGGUUAUUAGGUUUUCUUUCAGCUGUGUACUCUGUUGUUUAUGCAAGGCAUUUGAUUUGAGUACAGUAUCCGGAUAUGCGUAAAAAUUAUCUGUAAAAAAAUUACUGCAAAUACUAAUCUCACAUUCUCGAAUGGUCACAAGAAUGGUUUAUGGUGGUUGGACAUAGAGACAUGUUACCUAUGUGGAGUGUUUUCGCUGUUUUCCGAGCCAUAUAUUUUGGAUACUUAUUCUCUGUUAAAAACAAGGAAAACAAUAGGUUUCAAAAUAACAACACAGAAGAUAGAUUUCACAAAGGUGUGAAAAUACAUGGUUAGAUUUGUUGUAUUCAUAAUUUUACCGGAAAAGUGCACUUUGAACGUUUUGAAUAAGUUAACCAUUGCAAAAAUAAUAUUAGAAUAAGGAAAGGAGAGCAAUGUUCAAGAAUACAAACUUUUUAAUUUGCUUACAGGUGGAGUGGAGUAUACAUUGCAGUGGAGACUGAUGGAGUAGGGAUAGGAGAGGGGAUAUUUCCUGCAAACAGAACAAAAUUUCAAAAGUUGCCAAAUAUUGAAGAAACAAUUCAUCGAUAAUAUAUAGUAUAUUUUGCCCUUUAUACAGAUAGACGGCUAAAUUUACAGAAAAACACGCGACGUUCCAAGACGCUCCUUUGGUCCAUUCAUCCUCGCUAAAAGUUAUCUGGUCAGCCGUUGAAUCGCUGAUUUUCAAGAUUUCCACGGACAUCGGUGUUCCCUUGCUUUAAUCUGAAACUAGAAGAAGGAACCAUAAAUUUGCAGGUGCUUUGAUUAGAAAAAGAGCAUUUUCAACAGUUUUGGUACGAGAAUUUUCCUGCGGUAAGUUUCACGAUUGUAAAAAAAAAAGUAUAUCAUAGUAAAACUUUUUGAAUUUAUGCGCUCCUUUGAACUGAAACUUUUGACUUUUUCCACACCUUUCGCCACAUACCGGAGAUCUAGUGCUCGACUUUUCCCCAUAAUUAAUAUUUUCAUUACUGUGCCCAUUUUAAGCGCUCAACCGCCAGGCAGCGCUUAUUACUUUCGACCCGCCACUAGAGUGGUAGAAUAGUAAAACGCUGCGGCAGUUGAACCAAAGAGAAAAUAACUGUAGCAAUUUGAAUGGCGGGCGGAGUGGCACCCCCUACUUCUACGAGUUGUCUCUGAUUGGAUCCGCGUGGUGCCUUUUCGAGGCCCUUAUGGGAAAUAACUCGGGGUUCAAUUUUCAUCGAAAAGAGCUUGAUGCGAAAACGGCUUUUUUCGCCUUCCUCCUUUGGAAUUUCUUCAAAUCUUGUUUAAUGAUUUCCUCCCAAGCGCUUCUUUUCCAGAAUAUUCGGACAUCCAAAAAAUUUUAGGGGGCGUGAGGGGGGGGGGAUGGAAGUCAAAACUUUUGAACCUGAGUAUCUCUCCAACGAAUAAAGUUAUCGAGGUCCAAUUCUGACGAAAAAUCGUCUGAAAUUGCAUAUUUUGAGAUUCUUAGGGUCGAAAUCCCAAAAUCACAUUUUUAAGUUAAUGCACAUGCUUUAUUUCAGUUUUUGUGUCCAGAAAAUUUCUUUCUAACGAAGGAUACACAAAGAUCUCAAUUUUUUUAUCUGAAUCAAGCCAGUUUUUUUAAUUGUUCGUCUUUUUCCGCAUCAAACGAGUGGUCUAUUGAGCUGGGAGACCAAAGGGUUCGAGAGUUAUGGACGAUUGCAGUGUCCGCUCUACGCGUGCCGACCGAUUUUCGCGCGUCAAACUACUGUUCCAAAGCCGGAUUGGGGUGUUAUUAAAACAGAUUGAAUGUUUAAACCGUGCUAAAUAAGUUUUUAGGGAUUAGUGAGGGUGGCUGAGUUCAGAAAUUACAGAUUCUUCCAAAGUAAUCACUUUUUUGAAAUUACAGCUCCGAAGCGCUACUUUAGAGGCCCACCGAGCGUCGACCGGUCGCUUAGUGGGCCUGUACGGAGUUGUAGUUGAAACUACAAUCGUCCAAUAUAACUCUCGAGCCCUUUGGUUCCCCAGCUCAAUGGACCACUCGUUGGAUGCGGAGAAAGACGAACAGUUUAAAAAAAACUGGUUUUGGUUCAGAUGAAAAAUUGAGAUCUUUGUGUAUCCUUUGUUUAGAAUUUUCUGGACUCAAAAACUGAAAAAAAACCCACAUGUUAACUUAAAAAUGUGAUUUUGGGAUUUUGACCUUUAGAAUCCUAAAUUAUGCAAUUUUAGACGAUUUUUCAUCGAAACCGGACCUCGAUAUCUCUCAGUUUUUUACUUCCAGCCCCCCCCCCAGCACCCCCAACAUUUCUUGGGGGUCUGAAAAUUUGGGGGAAGGAGCGCUCAAGCACGAGUAAUCAAGAGACAAAAAUUGGAGGAAUUCCAGAGAGGAGAGGGGGCAAAAAAAAACCGUUUUCGCAUAAAGCUCUUUCUCGAGAUCAAGGAAUUUACGCGCCGGAGAGCUCAGGAAUUAAUUAUUCAGAUUUUUCUGAAGAGGCUGAUCGGUAAUACGUGACACUUUUUCCUCAAAUGUACGGAAGAGUACAACCUGGAAUUUUCUUUUUUCAACGUGAAGUAUGACGAAACGAAAAAAAACCCCUAAAUUUUAGGUUGAACUGCUCGGUGUGUUUGAGAAAAAGUGUCAUUCAUUACCCAUCAACCUCUUCAGAAAAAUUUGACGAAUUAAUGUCCGAGAUCUCCGACUUGUAUAUUUUUCCUCGUUUUCGAGAUAUUUUCUAUGUAAAACGGUCCCCGUGUUAUUUUACCAUAAGGGCCUCUAAAAUGGAAACCAGGCGGAUUAGCCAAUGAGAGACAACUCGUACAAGUAAGGUGUAUGCCACUCUGCCCGCCAUUCAAAUUGCUGCUCUUGUUUCCUCUUCGGGUUAAACGGUGCAACUGCUCAACAAAGAAGGAGGACAAGAUUCUCAAAAUGUUCUUCAGACUAGCUGAUGACACCUCUGCUAAUGCAAUUAAAUAUAAAUUCGCGGUAAAAAUAGAUUACAUUCCUAAAAUUUUCUUAGCUGCAAAGUUUACAGAUAUCUUAUUAUUACCUCUGAAAGUUAAGGGUGCGGGUCAUAUUCAUCCGAACACUUUACCACCGGCGAUUACUUUAUUCGGAGUUCAUCGGAAUUCGCUUACAUUGGGGGACAUAACACUGCCUCCAAAUAUUAUCUUCACUCCCUUUCUAAAACGGAAUACUCUUUUAGGUUAUGUCAGACAAGAGCAUAGAGGAAAUACAGAGAGGGGUGCAAAAAUAUAAAGACGGAGUGCUCGUAUCUAAAAAGCACGGGGAAAAAGUGAAGCCAUGUUUGGCGCUGGACACUUGUGUGAGUGUGGAAAUGAGCCCGGGAAUCCAUGGGCGGGAAACGGAAAUUUGAUUUGAAUUUGUCCUCUUGAUUUUUCCACAUUUCCUCCUCUAAACGUGUUUUAAAUGCCUAAAACGAAUAUAUGAAGAAAUUUGGGACGGUAAAUUUUCAUAAUACACCUACUUUUGCUCGGGAACAGGCAGUAAUCACAGAUAAAGUUCAUUUUUCUGUUGCUCGUAGUGGUCCUGCCGUUACUCCCUACGACCGUUACUCCCAAAUAAGGUUAAUCGGUCGAUGAUAGACCAGAAAUAACUUAAAGUUAGAAAAUAUCCGUGGGUUAGUGAAUUUGCGCAAUAAUCAACCUAGAAUACCUUGUUUACCCAAUUUCAUUCACCUCCCGCCCCUUUGAAUUUCAAACUUGUCCCGAUUUUGCCGCCAAUCCUUUAGCCAAUAGUAGAGGUGGUCGAAAAGCUGCAUCACUUUUUGCUUUUAGCGCUCCGGCUUUAUGUCUUUGGAGGGGUGGCGAGCGAAGAAAUGUACUUUUCUACGUCACACCUGAAAAUGAAGCCGCCCCUCAAAUUGGUUGAAGGUAUCAUAGGAAAACCGAGGUCACGUUGAAACUUAGAAAGAAGCGGGAAAGGCUGUGAGAUUUCCGUUUACCCUGAAACUUGUUGCAAUUGACUUUUAGGUAACGUUUCAUAAUGUUUUUCUACAAUUUUCAAACUGUAAUUAAAAAUAAUUUGCAAGUUAAUACAUCGAUAAUAAGUUAAUGCAUUAUUUAGUUGUUGGUUGAUACAUUUUUUUAAGUGUUCCAGAAAAUUCCAUUUUUUUAAGGAAGGAACUAAAACAAUUUUUUCAGUUUUCAUGAGAAGUUAGUGAUUUUCAUGUUUUAAUAUAUUGAUUCCUUUGCAAUGGAUAAUCAUUUUAUCUUUGAUCUUGGAAUUUUCUCGGGGGGGGGGGGACAAAGCACCAUUUUAAAUGUUUUGAUUAAUAUGUACCUAAAGAACUUCUGAAUUGUAUGAUAGCACAUUUAAAAUAUACAGGUAGGUAAUACGUAGUAAAUUAAAGAUCAAACUCUUCAAAAUCAUGCUGACCGCUGUGCGCUUCCAAAUUCCAAA